rnacentral:rRNA from 1 species
UACGUAGGGUGCGAGCGUUGUCCGGAAUUAUUGGGCGUAAAGGGCUCGUAGGCGGUUUGUCGCGUCGGGAGUGAAAACCAGGUGCUUAACACCUGGCUUGCUUUCGAUACGGGCAGACUAGAGGUAUUCAGGGGAGAACGGAAUUCCUGGUGUAGCGGUGAAAUGCGCAGAUAUCAGGAGGAACACCGGUGGCGAAGGCGGUUCUCUGGGCAUGACCUGACGCUGAGGAGCGAAAGUGUGGGGAGCGAACAGG